CCUACGGGGGGCUGCAGUGGGGAAUAUUGGACAAUGGGGGGAACCCUGAUCCAGCCAUGCCGCGUGUGUGAAGAAGGCCCUCGGGUUGUAAAGCACUUUCAGUGAGGAAGAACGCCUGGUGGUUAAUACCCAUCAGGAAAGACAUCACUCACAGAAGAAGCACCGGCUAACUCCGUGCCAGCAGCCGCGGUAAUACGGAGGGUGCGAGCGUUAAUCGGAAUUACUGGGCGUAAAGCGCGCGUAGGUGGCUUGAUAAGCCGGUUGUGAAAGCCCCGGGCUCAACCUGGGAACGGCAUCCGGAACUGUCAAGCUAGAGUGCAGGAGAGGAAGGUAGAAUCCCCGGUGUAGCGGUGAAAUGCGUAGAGAUCGGGAGGAAUACCAGUGGCGAAGGCGGCCUUCUGGACUGACACUGACACUGAGGUGCGAAAGCGUGGGUAGCAAACAGGAUUAGAUACCCCAGUAGUC
rnacentral:rRNA from 1 species